rnacentral:rRNA from 1 species
CCUACUGGAGGCAGCAGUAGGGAAUCUUUCACAAUGGGCGAAAGCCUGAUGGAGCAACGCCGCGUGCAGGAUGACUGCCUUCGGGUUGUAAACUGCUUUUAUAAGCGAGAAAUAUGAUGGUAACUUAUGAAUAAGAAUCGACUAACUACGUUCCAGCAGCCGCGGUCAUACGUAGGAUCCGCGCAUUAUCCGGAGUGACUGGGUGUAAAGAGUUUCGUAGGUGGCAUAAUAAGUAGAUGGUGAAUUCUGGUGGCUCAACCAUUCAGACUAUUGGGUAAACUGUUAAGCUCGAGACCGUUAGGGGUAAGUGGAAUGUGUGGUGUAGGAGUGAAAUGCGUAGAUAUUA